rnacentral:rRNA from 1 species
UACGUAGGGGGCGAGCGUUGUCCGGAUUUACUGGGCGUAAAGCGCACGCAGGCGGUCUGCUAAGUUUGGAGUGACAGUUGGUGGCUUAACUGCCAAAGUGCUUCGAAAACUGACAGACUUGAGGGCUUCAGAGGGACACGGAAUUCCCGGUGUAGCGGUGAAAUGCGUAGAGAUCGGGAGGAACAUCAGUGGCGAAGGCGGCCAUCUGGGACAACACUGACGCUGAAGCCCGAAAGCGUGGGGAGCAGGCAGG